UAUGGAGAGUUUGAUCCUGGCUCAGAGUGAACGCUGGCGGCGUGCCUAAUACAUGCAAGUCGAACGAUGAAGCUUCUAGCUUGCUAGAGUGCUGAUUAGUGGCGCACGGGUGAGUAACGCAUAGGUUAUGUGCCUCUUAGUUUGGGAUAGCCAUUGGAAACGAUGAUUAAUACCAGAUACUCCCUACGGGGGAAAGAUUUAUCGCUAAGAGAUCAGCCUAUGUCCUAUCAGCUUGUUGGUAAGGUAAUGGCUUACCAAGGCUAUGACGGGUAUCCGGCCUGAGAGGGUGAACGGACACACUGGAACUGAGACACGGUCCAGACUCCUACGGGAGGCAGCAGUAGGGAAUAUUGCUCAAUGGGGGAAACCCUGAAGCAGCAACGCCGCGUGGAGGAUGAAGGUUUUAGGAUUGUAAACUCCUUUUGUUAGAGAAGAUAAUGACGGUAUCUAACGAAUAAGCACCGGCUAACUCCGUGCCAGCAGCCGCGGUAAUACGGAGGGUGCAAGCGUUACUCGGAAUCACUGGGCGUAAAGAGCGCGUAGGCGGGAUAGUCAGUCAGGUGUGAAAUCCUAUGGCUUAACCAUAGAACUGCAUUUGAAACUACUAUUCUAGAGUGUGGGAGAGGUAGGUGGAAUUCUUGGUGUAGGGGUAAAAUCCGUAGAGAUCAAGAGGAAUACUCAUUGCGAAGGCGACCUGCUGGAACAUUACUGACGCUGAUUGCGCGAAAGCGUGGGGAGCAAACAGGAUUAGAUACCCUGGUAGUCCACGCCCUAAACGAUGGAUGCUAGUUGUUGGAGGGCUUAGUCUCUCCAGUAAUGCAGCUAACGCAUUAAGCAUCCCGCCUGGGGAGUACGGUCGCAAGAUUAAAACUCAAAGGAAUAGACGGGGACCCGCACAAGCGGUGGAGCAUGUGGUUUAAUUCGAAGAUACACGAAGAACCUUACCUAGGCUUGACAUUGAGAGAAUCCGCUAGAAAUAGUGGAGUGUCUGGCUUGCUAGACCUUGAAAACAGGUGCUGCACGGCUGUCGUCAGCUCGUGUCGUGAGAUGUUGGGUUAAGUCCCGCAACGAGCGCAACCCCCUUUCUUAGUUGCUAACAGGUCAUGCUGAGAACUCUAAGGAUACUGCCUCCGUAAGGAGGAGGAAGGUGGGGACGACGUCAAGUCAUCAUGGCCCUUACGCCUAGGGCUACACACGUGCUACAAUGGGGUGCACAAAGAGAAGCAAUACUGCGAAGUGGAGCCAAUCUUCAAAACACCUCUCAGUUCGGAUUGUAGGCUGCAACUCGCCUGCAUGAAGCUGGAAUCGCUAGUAAUCGCAAAUCAGCCAUGUUGCGGUGAAUACGUUCCCGGGUCUUGUACUCACCGCCCGUCACACCAUGGGAGUUGUGUUUGCCUUAAGUCAGGAUGCUAAAUUAGCUACUGCCCACGGCACACACAGCGACUGGGGUGAAGUCGUAACAAGGUAACCGUAGGUGAACCUGCGGUUGGAUCACCUCCUUU
rnacentral:rRNA from 3 species